rnacentral:rRNA from 1 species
AGCCGCGGUAAUUCCAGCUCCAAUAGCGUAUAUUAACAUUGUUGUCGUUAAAAAGCUCGUAGUCGAACUUCGGGUCCUGUAGGCCGGUCCGCCUUCUUGGUGUGUACUUGCUCUAUGGGACCUUACCUCCUGGUGAACGGCGAUGUCCUUUACUGGGUGUCGUCGCAAACCAGGACGUUUACUUUGAAAAAAUUAGAGUGUUCAAAGCAGGCCUUUGCCCGAAUACAUUAGCAUGGAAUAAUAGAAUAGGACGCGCGUUCCCAUUUUGUUGGUUUCUGAGAUCGCCGUGAUGAUUAAUAG